UACGUAGGUGGCAAGCGUUAUCCGGAUUUAUUGGGCGUAAAGCGAGCGCAGGCGGUUUCUUAGGUCUGAUGUGAAAGCCUUCGGCUUAACCGAAGAAGUGCAUCGGAAACCGGGCGACUUGAGUGCAGAAGAGGACAGUGGAACUCCAUGUGUAGCGGUGGAAUGCGUAGAUAUAUGGAAGAACACCAGUGGCGAAGGCGGCUGUCUGGUCUGCAACUGACGCUGAGGCUCGAAAGCAUGGGUAGCGAACAGG
rnacentral:rRNA from 1 species